UACAGAGGGUGCGAGCGUUAAUCGGAAUUACUGGGCGUAAAGCGUGCGUAGACGGUUAUUUAAGUCGGAUGUGAAAGCCCCGGGCUCAACCUGGGAAUUGCAUUCGAGACUGAAUAGCUAGGGUACGGUAGAGGGAAGCGGAAUUUCCGGUGUAGCGGUGAAAUGCGUAGAUAUCGGAAGGAACAUCAGUGGCGAAAGCGGCUUCCUGGACC
rnacentral:rRNA from 1 species